AGUGGGCUAUAACUGAGGUGGUGGGGCUGCUGUCAGUCCUACUGAUAACCGUUGCAUUGACGCGGUAAGCAUGGGCGGCGGGUGGCUCUGGAGGUAAAGCAGGGCGGCAGGUAACCAGAAGGUCGCCGGUUCGAUCCCCGGCUCCUCCUAGCUGAGUGUCGAGGUGUCCCUGAGCCUCACCCUGACUGCUCCUGACCAGCUGGCUGUCGCCCUGCGUGGCUGACACCGCCGUCGGACAGCAACGCUUUACCGCACCAGUCUACCAGACCUGUGGCUUCAAUAUUUGUUUGCUUUCUGUACAUCAUGAUGCCUUCAUAAUUCAAGGGUUUCUUU